rnacentral:lncRNA from 1 species
GUGAUAAUCAUUUAUUAAAUAUUUGGCAGAUGACAUGACUUCAAGUUUACAGUUUCCCACAUAUGCAGGGUAUUCAUAACAUGUAUGACAUGACACUCACCUUGUAUACCUUCCAAAUAUUAUUAACAUAAUAAUACCCAGUACCACAGACACGGGAGGCCAACAGGAAACCCAGCUGUUGGUGGAAAAACUCCCAUCAUCAUUAGCCAGCCCUGACAACGGGACUUGCAGUCUUUUCCAAUCUGGAGAUCUACACCUAUUAAAGGUGUAAUACAUUUCCGAGCCUUUGACACCAAAUCCAGAAUUUAAAUUAUAAAAAUGUAUAUAUAGCAACAUUCAUCUGCAACCUCAUAGGAGCAAAAUUAUUUGUUUUUAUUUGUCACAAUGAAAGGGAUCGAGACAUUAAGGCUUGUGAUACAGCACGCCCCAUUCUGUAUUACACACAGGAUAUUCUGUAUUACACAUGGGCUAAUGAUAUAGCAAGCCCAGUUCUGUAUUACACACGGGAUAUUCUGUAUUACACAUGGGCUAAUGAUAUAGCAAGCCCAGUUCUGUAUUACACAUGGGCUAAUGAUAUAGCAAGCCCAGUUCUGUAUUACACAUGGGCUAAUGAUAUAGCAAGCCCAGUUCUGUAUUACACAUGGCCUAAUGAUAUAGCACGCCCAGUUCUGCAUUACACAUGGGCUAAUGAUAUAGCACGCCCAGUUCUGUAUUACACAUGGGCUAAUGAUAUAGCAAGCCCAGUUCUGUAUUACACAUGGGCUAAUGAUAUAGCACGCCCAGUUCUAUAUUACAUAUGGGCUAAUGAUAUAGCACGCCCAGUUCUGUAUUACACAUGGGCUAAUGAUAUAGCACGCCCAGUUCUAUAUUACAUAUGGGCUAAUGAUAUAGCACGCCCAGUUCUGUAUUACACAUGGGCUAAUGAUAUAGCACGCCCAGUUCUGUAUUACACAUGGCCUAAUGCUAUAGCAAGCCCAGUUCUGUAUUACACAUGGGCUAAUGAUAUAGCAGGCCCAGUGGUGUAACUAGAAACCACAGGGCACCGGUGCGAAAACUGCCCUGACCCCCCCGUAUGUCUACUCCUCCGCCACCCUAUCCCAUACGUCUACUGUCCCCCUCUCAUACAAACAGAUACACAUGCAGACACACACAUAUAGGUGCGCACACACACACAUACAAACACACACAGAGACAUACAUACAUAUACAUACAGACACAGACAGACAUACACACAGACACUCCAGGAGUGAUGGGCCUGGUCGCAGCUCCAACCGCGGUAGUUCCGCCACUGAGCACACCCCAUUCUGUAUUACACUUGGGCUAAUGAUAUAGCACGCCCCAUUCUGUAUUACAUACAGGAUAUUCUGUAUUACACAUAGGCUAGUGAUAUAGCACGCCCCAUUCUGUAUUACACAUGGGAUAUUCUGUAUUACUCACAGGAUAUUCUGUAAUACACAUGGGCUAAUGAUAUAGCACGCCACGUUCUGUAUUACACACAGGAUAUUCUGUAUUACACAUGGGCCAAUGAUAUAGCACGCCCCAUUCUGUAUUACACACAGGAUAUUCUGUGUUACACAUGGGAUAUUCUGUAUUACACACAGGAUAUUCUGUAAUACACAUGGGCUAAUUAUAUAGCACGCCACGUUCUGUAUUACACACAGGAUAUUCUGUAUUACACAUGGGCUAGUGAUAUAGCACGCCCCGUUCUGUAUUACACACAGGAUAUUCUGUAAUACACAUGGGCUAAUGAUAUAGCACGCCCCGUUCUGUAUUACACACAGGAUAUUCUGUAUUACACAUGGGCUAAUAAUAUAGCACGCCUUGUUCGGGAUUACACAAAGGAUAUUCUGUAUUACACUUUGGCUAGUGAUACAGCACGCCCCAUUCUGUAUUACACACAGGAUAUUCUGUAAUACACAUGGGCUAAUUAUAUAGCACGUCACGUUCUGUAUUACACACAGGAUAUUCUGUAUUACACAUGUGCUAAUGAUAUAGCACGCCCCGUUCUGUAUUACACACAGGAUAUUCUGUAUUACACAUGGGCUAAUAAUAUAGCACGCCUUGUUCUGGAUUACACAAAGGAUAUUCUGUAUUACACUUUGGCUAGUGAUAUAGCACGCCCCAUUCUGUAUUACACAUGGGAUAGUGAUAUGGCAAGUCCUAUGCUGCUUACACACGGGAUAUUCUGUAUUACACACAGGAUAUUCUGUAUUACACAUGGGCUAAUAAUAUAGCACGCCUUGUUCUGGAUUACACAAAGGAUAUUCUGGAUUACACUUUGGCUAGUGAUAUAGCACGCCCCAUUCUGUAUUACACAUGGGAUAGUGAUAUAGCAAGUCCUAUGCUGCUUACACACGGGAUAUUCUGUAUUAUACACAGGAUAUUCUGUAUUACACAUGGGCUAGUGAUAUAGCACGCCCCAUUCUGUAUUACACAUGGGAUAGUGAUAUGGCAAGUCCUAUGCUGCUUACACACGGGAUAUUCUGUAUUACACAUGGGCUAGUGAUAUAGCACGCCCCAUUCUUUCUUACACAUGGGCUUCACAUAUAGCUUAUCCCAUUCUGAUAUACAUGGAAACAUUAGCUGCCAAAACAGUCUUGGUGGAUUGCCUUACAUGUACCGUCCACAAAACAGAGACCAUUGGUAGCUGUUCAUUGAAGUGGUCCAGCCACCUUAACAAACAUAUUAUUAAGCGGAGGCUUAUAAACCAUUAAUAUGUUCAGUACUGUGCAGCCCAUUAUAAGCUUAUUUAAUGAUAGAACUGGCAUUGCAUUCGCUGUUUCUUACUCCAUAUCUCUGUAAUAAGUUUUAGAACAUGUGAUGGACCCAGGAAGUCAAGCAAGGAAACAUGUAUUCCCAGAAUACUAUAGGGUGCCCAGGCUAAUGGUAUUAUUAACACCAUGUUAACAUAUAUGUAAAAAAUCAUGAAUACAGCACUGCAAAAUGUUCCUACUGACUGAUUUAAGGUAUUCACCUAAUUCUAGAAUUAUUGAGUUGUGGCCAAUGACAAAAAGACGAUUUAAAACUCCUUAAGGUCUGGACCCUAGUCAUGCAGUGAGGGCUUGCUUUAAUCUGUUAUGAUUUCAGGAUAAUUACCCGCAGACAGAUCAUGUAGCUGGGAACGCCAAACUAUGCUUACUAGUUAAUUAGUAGGUAGAGUAAGUUAUAAAAGGGUUUUAUAUUUAGUGAUUUAUUUUUUAUUUUUUUCCAUUCAUAGUGAGACAGUCUUCACUUGUAAAUAACUAGAGACAAACAAACCUUCUGAGUAUAGAUUGAGGAACACUUCGGGUAGGUUGACAGCCGCUAGAGGCGCUUGCGUGCUUCUCACUGUGAAAAUCACAGUGAGAAGACGCCAGCGUCCAUAGGAAAACAUUGUAAGUUCUUUCCUAUGAGACUGGCUGAAUGCGCACGCAGCUCCUGCCGCGCAUGCGCAUUCACCCGAAGAGGAGCUCCCUGCCCGGCGCAGAUGAAAGAGGUAAGUUUAACCCCUUCCUCCCCCUCAGCGCCACGGGAGUGGGACCCUGAGGGUGGGGCACCCUCAGGGCACUAUAGUGGUCCUUUAAAAGUGACAUGCAAGCCCAUAGUAGAUAACAAGAGGUAAGCAUGUCCCAGGUAGGAUACCUGUAAGAUAAGUGAACACCUGGGUAGAAAGCUACAGAUGAAUGAGCCCCAAGUAAAUAGGAGGUGAGAAAGCACCACGGUAGGUUAUCAGAGACAAGUGAGCACCUAGGGAGAUAACUACAGAUGCACAAGCUCCAUGCAAACAACAAGAGGUGAAUGAGCUCUCAUAUAGAUAACUAGAUAGCCCUAGCUAAAUAGCAAGAGCCCUUGGGUAGAUAACUAGAGAUGAGUGAGCUUUGGGUAAAUAACAAGAAGUGAGCGUGCCCCAGGGUAGAGAUAAGUGAGCCCCAUAACUAACAGUAUGUGAGCCCUACUGUAGUGAUAAGCCAGUCCCUGGGUAGACAACCAGAGAUAAGUGAGCCCUCUCAUAGAUAACUGGAGAUAAUCAAGCCCCCCAUAGAUAACUGGAGACAAUUAUGCCCUCACGUAGACAGAGAUAAGUGAGCCCUCCCAUAGACAGAGAUAAUCGAGUCCUUCCACAGACAGUGAUAAGUGAGCCAUCCCGUAGACAGAGAUGUGUAAGCCCUACCAUAACAACUGGAGAUGAGUGAGAUGCUGUGUAUAACAAAAGCACAUGGAGUCACUCUCAGCAUAACCUGCUAAACAGCAGCCUAUCCGCUUACCACUCAUCCCUGAUAACCUUCUUCUGUUGUCUCCCAUCUUCUGUGCUCCAUCCUCCAAAACACUGCUCUCAUCCUCACGUACAUACAGAUCAUUUAGGUCAUUUAUGGAGCGUUCAUAUACCGAGCACCAUGGUAACGGUCGUCCCUAGUCCUAUAGUGGGUGAGACUCAUGGAGUUAUAAGUAGAGUGCUUGGGGACCAUCGUGCCCUUAGGAGACCAGGACUAAAUUCCACUGAGUGUUUAUGGGCUAAAUAUGUAUCUUUUAGCUGCCACCUAACUUCACCAGGGGCGAGGAAAGAGUAGGGGCAUCCACCCUACAGUACAAAUACCCUCUAACAUUCCACAGAUUUGCCAUGUUUAUGGUCUGUGGGGUUAGUGACUGUGUUAAGAUUCAGUUUUUGAUUUCCUCGUGGUAACUAUUCAGGGGUUCAGUGCUAGCCAGGCUGAAUUCAAUGGGAACUUUAAGUAACAUUUGAAUUGGGAAAAAUAAACAAUUUCAGAUAUUGUAAAGUACAAUUUGCAGUUUCUGUCCCCAGAGAACAAACCCACUGGUUGAAUGUUAAAUGACUUGAGCAGGUACAAGAAACAAGUCUGAAUGCAUCGUGUGAUGAAGCACACAUGGAGUUCUGUAUUGAGAGAAACGUUAUUCGGACAGUCUCCUACGUACUGUCACAUAUUAACAUAUUCUCCCCUUUUAGAAGAACCUCAAGCGGAUCACAGUGUCUCAAGCCUCUCUGAAAUCGAAGAGUAAAUUGAAGGGUGGCCAGCAACCAAGGGGUCACAUGCAUGCACGCACACACACACACACACACACACACACACUCUUGUUCAAGCGUCACCCAGGACAUGAUUGAGCAGACCCAAUAAAAUGUGCAGUAUGCUACACGGGGAACCAAUCGUGCACUUGUCAUCAGGAUGCCUGGACAAAAGCCCUUCAGUCGGAGCAGCGACUCUCCUGAUGCCUUGAUCUUGGGUCACAUCUCUGUUGGAUGGUUGAUGUGGCUGUUGAAAUGUGGCUUUAAAUUUUCAGAAGUACAACGAUGUUUUAGAAGUGUGCCUGCAGGAAAGGAAUAUGUUACAAUCACAUACCCUAAACAUCAAAAGUUCCAACAAAAUGUAGCAGCUGAAGGGUGCAAAUGGAGGUCUAAUUACUAUGAUGGGAAUACUGGAAUGAAAUAGUGUAAAAUUGGUGGACAGAUCACAGACUAUUCUGGGAAUAUACAGCUAUAGGAUGGGAUUGUAG